rnacentral:rRNA from 1 species
AUUGAACGCUGGCGGCAGGCCUAACACAUGCAAGUCGAGCGGAUGAAGGGAGCUUGCUCCUGGAUUCAGCGGCGGACGGGUGAGUAAUGCCUAGGAAUCUGCCUGGUAGUGGGGGAUAACGUCCGGAAACGGGCGCUAAUACCGCAUACGUCCUGAGGGAGAAAGUGGGGGAUCUUCGGACCUCACGCUAUCAGAUGAGCCUAGGUCGGAUUAGCUAGUUGGUGGGGUAAAGGCCUACCAAGGCGACGAUCCGUAACUGGUCUGAGAGGAUGAUCAGUCACACUGGACCUGAGACACGGUCCAAACUCCUACGGGAGGCAGCAGUGGGAAAUAUUGGACAAUGGGCGAAGGCCUGAUCCAGCCAUGCCGCGGGUGUGAAGAAGGUCUUCGGAUUGUAAAGCACUUUAAGUUGGGAGGAAGGGCAGUAAGUUAAUACCUUGCUGUUUUGACGUUACCAACAGAAUAAGCACCGGCUAACUUCGU